rnacentral:rRNA from 1 species
CCCUACGGGGCGCAGCAGGCGCGAAAACUUUACAAUGCGGGAAACCGUGAUAAGGGAACUCCGAGUGUCCGUAAAUGCGGACUGUCCGUAUGUUUAAAAAGCAUGCGAAGAAAGGGCCGGGCAAGACCGGUGCCAGCCGCCGCGGUAAUACCGGCGGCUCGAGUGGUGGCCACUAUUACUGGGCUUAAAGCGUUCGUAGCUGGGUCGUUAAGUCUCUUGGGAAAUCUACCGGCUUAACCGAUAGGCGUCCAAGGGAUACU